GAGAGGUUGGUUACGAUAGCACAAAUAUUCCUCAGAGCGCAGGAGGCUAGGCGGUGAUCUUAUAGAGGUGUAUAAAAUUAUGAGUGGAAUUGAUAGGGUGAAAGCAGAGGCUUUUGUUUAAACCCAUGAUAGG